UACGUAGGUGACAAGCGUUGUCCGGAUUUACUGGGCGUAAAGAGCGCGCAGGCGGUCGUUCAAGUCGAGUGUGAAAGCCCCCGGCUCAACUGGGGAGGGUCACUCGAUACUGAUCGACUCGAAGGCAGGAGAGGGAAGUGGAAUUCCCGGUGUAGUGGUGAAAUGCGUAGAUAUCGGGAGGAACACCAGUGGCGAAGGCGACUUCCUGGCCUGUUCUUGACGCUGAGGCGCAAAAGCUAGGGGAGCAAACGGG
rnacentral:rRNA from 1 species